rnacentral:rRNA from 1 species
GAUGAACGCUAGCGGCAGGCCUAAUACAUGCAAGUCGAACGGUAACAUGAGUAGCAAUACUUGAUGACGAGUGGCGCACGGGUGCGUAACGCGUAUGCAAUCUACCUUUAACUGGUGAAUAGCCCGAAGAAAUUCGGAUUAAUACACCAUAGUAUAUUUCUGUAGCAUUACUAGAAUAUUAAAGUCCCAACGGUUAAAGAUGAGCAUGCGUGACAUUAGCUAGUUGGUGAGGUAAUGGCUCACCAAGGCUACGAUGUCUAGGGGAUCUGAGA